AAGGAUCACUAAAGUAAACGCCCUCCGGGGCUCUCUUUAUUCACACACCCCUGUGCACUUUGGCCACCUGCCGCGCUUAACUGCGUUAGUAGGUGUGUCUCUUUAUUUAUACCCAUAUACACAAGUCAUUGAAUGUAAAAUCGUUAUAAACUAAUAUAACUUUCAACAACGGAUCUCUUGGUUCUCGCAUCGAUGAAGAACGCAGCGAAUUGCGAUAAGUAAUGUGAAUUGCAGAAUUCAGUGAAUCAUCGAAUCUUUGAACGCAUCUUGCGCUCUUUGGGUAUUCCGAAGAGCAUGCCUGUUUGAGUGUCAUGAAACUCUCACCUCCAGCCUUCUUUAAUUAGAGGUGUUGGGGCGUGGACGUGAGUGCUGCUGGUGCCCUGGUUGCAUCGGCUCACUUGAAAUACAUUAGCUGAAUCCUCUAGAGGUGGUUCUACUCGACGUGAUAAGAUCUCCGUCGAGGACAGUGCAACUUGUUGUGCUGGCCGCCGCUAGCAGUUGAUACGCUUCUAAUUAGCGCAGACUUCGAGUGCUGGCAACUUUUGACAACUUGCCUCAAAUCAGGUAGGACUACCCACUGAACUUAA
rnacentral:rRNA from 1 species